CAAAACGUACCGAAAUUCGAUCUUUACUCAAGAUCAACAGUAACGUCCUUUGAAAAAGCAGGUUGCGGUUCAACGUGUAAGGCGAGCGCCAAGGUGGAGACAGAAGAGGAGACCAUGGCCGUGGAGGGGAAGAGGGGUAAAAAUAAAAAAGAAGAGGAAGACUCCCCGGAGACUGUCACAGAGGGCCAGAGAGUGGUCAUUCAACACUGAGGUAUGUCUGUGGUCGGGAAUAAAGAAAGGCCCACCUCACAAGCUGAAGUUCCCUGAGCCUGAAGUUCUUGCCCUGGAGAAGGCACUGAAGACUGAAUAAACAUUUGAGGGAAGUAUGCAUAGGCACAAUCUUAGUAGUUCCCACUGGACACAGAUGUCUAUUCAACAGUGGUUCAACAAAAUGACAUGGAAACAAGGUUGAUUCAACCAGUGUAAGCUCAGGGGGUUGUCGUUCCGUGUCCAAUUCAAAUGACUAAAUUCAAAUCAGAUUGACCCAAGCUGUAAUAGAAAGGAAUCCGUUGAAAUAAACAGACUGGUUGAGAGGGUUUGGCUACUCAAGAGAGUAAACAGUGAGACCAAUAGAAAAACACUAAAUUAAGGCAAUCCACUUAUUUGAUUGGAAUAAAUAUCCCAAUAAAAUGAUUUGCUAAAAUAGUGAAUUCUCCCUCUUGUUCUUUGCAGCCAGUCAGCAAGGGUUUGUAGCAGCUGGAUGCAGAAUGAUAAGGACUGCCCAAUGUGGUUGCGCCUCAGUAAUUCCUCUGAUGAGACUGAGUCAAGCUCCUCUGGCCUGGAAUUAAAAUUGAGAUCCUCAGACCCCUUGUGAGACCAUAUGCUGGUGCGGUUGGCCCUGGGUUCCUCCUAAUGCAAGACAAUGCUAGACCUCAUGUGGCUGGAGUGUCAGCAGUUCCUGCAAGAGGAAGGCAUUGAUGCUAUGGACUGGCCCGCCUGUUCCCCAGACCUGAAUCCAAUUGAGCACAUCUGGGACAUCAUGUCUCGCUCCAUCCACCAACGCCACGUUGCACCACAGACUGUCCAGGAGUUGGCGGAUGUUUUAGUCCAGGUCUGGGAGGAGAUCCCUCAGGAGACCAUCCGCCACCUCAUCAGGAGCAUGCCCAGGCGUUGUAGGGAGGUCAUACA